GGUACUCCCAUCCAAUUGUCUUAACAAGAAAAUCCUGGGCAUUGUUAGCUCCUGCCCUCACGUCCCAGCUUCGUGCUGCUUGAACCCUUCCUUGAGUGGUCUCCCACAGGGUGGCAGGUGUAAGAUUCAUACUCAGAUCCAGGAGAAACCGUGUCUGGGUUUUUGAGUCUGAAACAGCUGCUUUGAAGAGAUCUUUCACAUGAAUGACUAGGCUGUGAAUUGCUAAGGGCAGCAUCUUAGCUCUGUGAAAACCCUGCAUCAAGCCUGUGGAGAAGGUCCUGCCGAAGCAGAGAGGUGAGACCCUUGGUAAGAACAGAAGGAACAGAUGGUGGCACCAUCCUGUCUCAGCACCAAAUACUGCCCUGCAGUUGUACACGGUAUGACAAGCAUCCCCGUGUGGAGACGCAGAUACUGCUCCUGCGAAGUUGAGAUCCCAAGUGGAGGAUCCCCUGUGACAGACAGCACUACUGCCAGGACCUGACACCGAGCCGGGGCUGCCGGCGGGAGCCAAGCUGUAGCAGAGCAAGCAGAGAGCCUGGUGCACUCGUAUUGGCAGGUCAGCUUCGUGGAUUUUAUGGCAGACUUCUGCAGCUGAGGGACAACUGUCUGUGGAUCUCCAGCUGCAUUCCACUUCUCCUUAGGCAUGGUGUCACUGGGGCACCCUUCCUCAUAAUACAGAGCACAGAAACACCAUUCCUUUCAUAAUUUGGCACAGGGAGGUUGUGUCCUCUAAUGAGCAGAUUGUCUGGACUUCACUAGUUGGCAGAAUUCACCAUCGGUGACUUUAAUCUGUAAUAUCAGCAAUAAUCACUGUGGUAUUGUUGCCUAGGCAUUCUUGAAGAGUCAGAAGUGGACUGUAAUUGAAGAGUUCAUUACCAAGAUCAGUUGGCUCCUUGAUUACAGUGGCAAGGUGAAAUAUAUAUCCUCACCAAAAAGCAACUGCUAAACCUUUAGAGAAGUCACCCACUUUUCACUCUUUUUCAUUAGGACCCCGACAAGCUUGUCAGCAAAAUUAAAGCCAAAGGCAUCACCAGCAAAUCAGACCCAAGAUUUGGGGGCUGUGAUACUGCACCGCUAUUCCCCGUAGCAGCCGAGUACUUCUCCUUGUACCUCUCAAGCCUGCCAUUGUGCUGGAAAGUAGAGCAGGAUUAGUCUUCAGCUGUGUAAGUUCCUCAAUCAGUUCCAGAAUAGAGAUGCACAAAUGCUUAUCCCAGCAUGAGAAAAGAGACUCCACAGGGACUGAAGGGACUGGACUGCUUCUGUCAUUGACAGUGUCAGCUUGUAUCAGCCAAAAGUUUUGGCUGAGCUGUGGCUUCUACACCCCAUUUAGAAAAUGAAGACAUUACUAAUUCUUUACUUCUUACGUGUCCACGAGGAUAACAUUGCCGACAUUUGCCAUGAGUGUUAGCAGAAAUGUAAUUCCUGCACUAAUUCCUGACUUGCUGAGGUCUAGCUGCAAAAACCUCCAGUAUCCCUCCCAGUCAGUGCCUGAGCCUGAUCACUGUUUGCUGGAGAUUGUUUUAAGGUCUGAAGCUUAAAAGAUAGAAGAAGGGGAAGGAGAAAGGGAAGGAGAAGGAGAAGGAGAAGGAGAAGGAGAAGGAGAAGGAGAAGGAGAAGGAGAAGGAGAAGGAGAAGGAGAAGGAGAAGGAGAAGGAGAAGGAGAAGACCGGUGAAUUUCCAGCUUUGGUACAACAGAUGUAUGAAACCUAAGAGCCGUAUUAGAGAUUUCUGAGGGUCUGUCUCCAGAGCCACCAGGCUGCAGAUGCACCUGUACAGCGGCGCCCAGACACCGCCUCCUUGAGCUGCCAGUUGAGCGUGCCAGGGCUUUCAAGCGAGAGGAGCUGGGGAGGUAACGCUGUUGAUCCUUCCUGCCUUUAAAGACAGCAGACUCAGAGAGAUGAGAUCCGUGUACUUCAGUGCAUCUGAGGGUCCGCCUCGGACGGUCUCCAUCUCGCAGAGCUCCGUUAGCAAGCAGCAAGCCCCAGCUGAACGUGGACCUGCGCUGUCAGCACCUGCCAGGCCCCAAGCUGAUGAAAGUGAAGAAGGGAAUCUUCCACAUGGCUGCAUCUUGAAAAGCAGGUGCCGCAGUGAUUGCUUCCUACCCAAACACGCUGCGCUACGCCAAGGGACUGGCCAGGUAUUUGUUGAGCUGGCUGGAAAUGGUUCUCUUGGCUUGCAGCACCAUCCCAACCUUGGCUGCUCCAAUUCCGCCUGCUUUGAAGGACCGCAGCAAAAGGUUUGUUAGAGAACAGCAGGCUUAGCUGAUGCAGAUAUGCUUCAGCAGCAGACUGGAGUGGUGUCGGCUGAGGGAGUCUGUGAAAGGUGGCUGCACCACUAAACUGACCGUGACAUAAAUUAUUUUCAUUGUCAACAAUAGGAUCCAGACAUUAAAUAAGUCGUCUUUAAAUGCUGCUCCUUCCACACCAAGCUGGAUUUGCUUUGCCGUGUGAUACUGCUGUGUUCCAGGUGCCAUGCGUGGUGCCCCACAGGCCUUCCUGCCAGGGUAGUCGAGCCGAGCAUCUUUACUGCACUGGAAGAAGGAGGUUUAGCCUUCAACCAACCAUCUCUGAGGCUGACUUGCAUGUUAAUGCAGAAUACCUGAUGCAAUUAUAUGUGAAGAGGACAUUCAGAUGCACUUCUAUAAAUGGCCCUGUGCUUCUCAAUUACAUUAACUGUCUUCACAGAUUCUUUAACAGAAAUCAUAGCCUUUUUUUUUUUUUUUUUCAAAAUAACAAAUAGGCAUUAAUCUCAACUUUGCUGUUACCCAAGAUGUCUUGAUCAAAGAUGUGAGAGUAAUACAAUAAACACAAGAAAAGAAACUACUGGUGGUUUCCAAUACAAACUAAUGGAAGUGUCAAGUGAGCAGAUACUGACAAUUCAGCCCGCAAAUCAAAUGUGCGUGUCCAAAACUCCACCUUUGAGAAGGAAGAAUAAAUAUCCACAGAAUGUUUUGGCUAUAAUUACUUCAUUGAGGGGGAAAAAAAAUGAAAAGAAAAAGGCGCUGAAUUCAGUUUGCUAAAGUCAAGACAUUAAUAUUUUUGGCAUGUAAAGAUGUAAACCAAAUGUUUAAAUGAAAUGUCAUCCCUUGGGUUCACAUUUGCCCAUUGAACUACAGUACAAACCCUCCAUAGACCUUCAUACAAUACACAUUUUUCAGUUCAUUGAAGAAGGCCCCUGCUGCUUCUCAAGGAAAACUAACUUGCAGAAGCAAAAUAAAUACUGGCGUCACAGUGUAGCAGUGGAGCCUUGCAAGCACAGAUGUGUAGCAUUGUCGGCUUUUAAAUCAGAUAAGGCGUAUUCAGACAUAAUCACUCCAGUGUCUGGGACAUGUUGCAUGCUGCAGAGCUGCCCAAGUAUGGCCCGACAGACACAUGCAGUGUGUGUUCAAGCUAAAUGGCAACAAGCUGACAGUAUUUCAUAACAGUCCUGUUAUGUCUAGAUAGGCAAAUGUUUGUGUAAUUUAGCUGUGACUUUGAAAUAGCUUAAGAAAUCGAGACACAAAUGGAGCUUUGUGAUUAGUUGUCAAUGAUGCCAUACCUGCUGGAUGAUGAUACUGCUGGAAAAUACCUGGGUUGAAGGGGUGUCCCUGGGGUCCUGAAGCUGUGCUGCAAGAGGCAUCGCCCCGAAGCCUCCAUCCAUCCCUUCGUUUGUCCAUCUGAGGAGUGGGACUGCUAUAGGGCUGCUCCUAUAAAAAUAUAUGGCCAUGUAGUUAGACGGAUGCCCUGGGCCUAGCUAAAGCCAUGGCAUGCAAAGGGUUGUUUUUGUCUGCUUGUAGCCAAGAUACUGCUAAAAAAUCAAAGUAUAUUUAACCCAACAGAAAUAGUGCUCCCUGGGUCUGUGGUAGGCCUAUUAAGACCUAUGAAGUACCUCAGCAAGAGAAAAUUCAACUUACAUACAACACAUGAUUUUAGGUAAAGAAAUAUUGAUAGGGCGGGGGGAACAAGUAUUUUUUUAGCUCUAAUUUAUGGCUGAGCAGCUUCAUUUUAGUUACUUCAUGAGAAUAUUUUAAACCAAGCCUGCAUAAUAUUAAAAUAAGUUAAAAUGUAUGUAAAAUUUAUGAGAGCAUGUCAGGUGCAAUGCUUGAUAAAGUAAGUUUAAUGCUUCAGAAUUUUUUUCUUCAGGCAGAGAAAGCUGAAUCCUGCAAUUCUAGGUUACAGUAUAAUUUUAGAAACUUUUCCAUUAUACCAUUCUUUUAUUAAUGAGAUCCAACCCAAUUUAACGAAAAGAGGUAAAUUCCUAGAGUUUGUGGAAAGUACUCAGCAGGUUGGAAGCCAGGAGCGUGUGAUAAAAGAGGAUAUUUUCCUACUGUUCAUGUGAAAUAUCCAAUUUUAUAAAAACACAGAGGAAAUCAAUUUACAACAAACUUCAUGCGUGCUUCUUCAGUGUGGUUUUUCUGCUGGAAAUGCUGCCUCACUCCGUGAACAAAUAAAAGCUUUGGCAGUUGACAGGGACUGUACAUCACUUUGAAAACUCUUCAUUUACCAGGGGUGUGUCAUGUUGUUUCAUUGUGUGACACUCCCAAUUAUCGUGACAGAGCUAAAUGACAAAGUACUGUCACCCCACUGAAAAUUCAGAGCAGCUUCUUUCCAUUUUUCUGCCUGGUCACGGGAACAUUGCUGAACUGGUACAACAGAGCGGCAGGAGCAGCAAAUGGGGAAUAUCUGCAUACUGCUCUACUGUAUUAAAAAUUCAGCUCCUCGGCAAUAUUAAAUCUGAAUUUACUUCCAUCAAACAGAAACUUAGCAUAUCUCAUUCUUCCAUUAUAAAAUAUUGACAUCAGAAAUAGUGAAUCCUGAAAUGAAGAUUACAGAUGAAAACUAUAUGCUUGGUAAUUAUCAUUUUUUUCUUUGUUAUUAUUCCUUUCCUCCGAGGAUUGCACAGGCUGCUGCAAACAGUAAUGAAGUUAGCAUGCGAUGCCAAUGUAAAGUACACUGCAAAGUUAUUCUUUCCCUCAUUAUAGAUGAGGGAAGUGAAACAGCGGAAGCAGGGUGAUUUCCCCAGCCAAACUCAGACACAAACGGGACAGCCCUCUGCACCUCACGUCUUAAUCACUGUCCCCAGCGGUGAGACCAGUGCCAUCCCUCAGCACCACCUUGCUUCCAUCAUCUUUUGUUCUACGCUUUCCCUAGGGUUUGUUUUAGGACUUUUCCUAGGGCUCAGAGCUGUUAAUACCAACAAUUUGUGUCACUAACUGAGCAGCCAGUUCACAAAUGCUUUCAUUGCUGACAAACCCACUGCCCAGCCUUGCAAUGGUCUUGAAUAGCCACUGCAUGCAAAAACACAGUUGCAAGCAUGGAAACGCCCGACCAGCCGUUCCUACAGCCCCUUCUUGGCUUGACACUGAAAUCUGGAAGAGAUCAAUGGGUCAGCCAGCCUGCAGUAGGGUAUCCCUUUGUGUUCCUGCAUGUGGAGAGAGCUGUUAUCACACAGCUUGGGAUGGCUUUCCAACAGAACAGCCUUGUCAUCACAACCUCGAAGUUCCAGCUUGGCCAAUUAAGCUGGUGUCUCUCUCACUCUUAGGUAAUUAAUUACUCAGAGUGGUAUUGCACAGCAGGACAGCUUCAUUUGCAGGUGCUUGCUGAACAUUACCUCCGCGUACUCUUGAACCUUGCCUUGUUGCCUAUGGAUGCUUUCGAGGAGUGUAAUAUAUACAGUGUGUGACACCUGACACCGUAUCUGUCUCGUAUGCUUCUUACAAAAAUCAAUCUAAAUCAAUAAAUUGUCCACCCUCCUCGUACAGUAUUUGCACAGGUUCAAAGACAGGACCAAUUAUUCUUAAGGUUGAAUUGUCAGGUGUCAGAUGAGAAUAUAGAAGUUGAAGCAUUAUAUUUAGGAACAGAUUUAUUUAGAGGACCUGAGAAUUUUCUUUGCUAUCAACAGGUCUAUGAAUAGAGCUUUUAUAAAUACAUCCUGGUUGAAACCAAUACUUUACAAAAUGACAGAGGUUUGAGUGUUUUGUUUCUUUUUCUUUUCUUUUCCCCCCACAACUGAAAUCAAAUACCUGCCUGAUAAAGUACGUAAACUAACAUCCAGCCUCGCUGAAGUAAUAGCAGUAAAACCACUGACCUUAAAGGGCUUUCGGUCCUGACCCUUCCUGCUGUGCACAUGUUGCCUUUUUGUUACCUCAUUUUCUGAGUACAGAUAAAAAUUCCCCAUGUUUUAGCUAUGUAUAAUAAAUACAUAUCUUUAUCAUGCAUUCAGUCUCUUGGGUUCAGUUCCAGCAAUGAGACACGCACCCUCUCCCGGCCAGUAUCACAGGUCUAAAGGUUACAUGUGACCAUCGUUGUCCCUGCCAAGACCACAGCACACAAAUACCAAGGCUUAUUAUAAUCACACACGAUCUUCACAAGUUUAACAGUUCUUGUCCCAGAAUACCAAAACCCCUGUCUUAGCACUCCCAGCAAAUCAGCAUGCAUUAUUGUUACGUGCUCAGAUAGAUACUACCAUGAUAGAUAUCAGAUUUCUGCUCAUGCCAAAAUUUCAGCUAGCUGUUCCCUUGAGUAUUUACGCUUGUGUACUGUAUUUAACAACAGCCCAUUCAAAAUGCUCACAGCUCCUAGGAAUGAAAUGCACAUAAUUUAGGAAUAGCUGCCUGGCUAUUCAGGCAUCAUGCUGUGUCAAGGGAAAAUUAAAUCUUUGACUUUCCUCUCCCUUUUUUAAAACAAACCUGUAGUUUGCAUCAUAUUUUGGGGAGCUGUAUGAAAGUUUCAUAAAGAGAAAGUAAGCAUGGCAUUUUUUCCCCUGUUUAAUGGUAGUGCCUACCCAUCAAUGUUCCACAAUGAUACAGUAGUUAAAAAAAAAAAAGGUCUCAGCAUGCAAGCAUUGUAUCACAUUAAGAAAUCAGGAUUUUCUAGGCACUGCACAGCAUUAAUUACACUGAGCAUGCUGCAAAUUUAAAUUAAAUGAUAUGCCAUGUUCUGUUGUAAAUACCGAAGUGGAAUGUAAGAUACAGCCCCAUAUUAGCUUCUGAUUGGCAUUUGUGCAAUGAACAGGAUCAUAAAAUCUGUACAGUAUAUAAUUUUUUUGUAUCAGGAGCACCCGAUACAAAUGCACUUUUGUUUUCAGGCAUACCUAACAGCACAGUUACAGGUCAGAACUUAUCCUAAAGCUAAAUUACUUAUGCUAAAAAGAACAGCUCUUCCUCAAAAGUAGUGAUAAUAAAAGAAGAAAAAAAAAAAAGCCAAAAAAAAAAGCCCUUUUUGCCUUCAUUCCCAUUCUUAAAAAAUAAAAUAAAAUAAAAUAAAAUAAAAUAAAAUAAAAUAAAAUAAAAUAAAAUAAAAUAAAAUAAAAUAAAAAAAUUAAAUACAAUAAACACAAUCUAGAUGGUUGAGGGGUGCCCAGAGGAAAAUGGGGGCCGUGUGGGACUGAAGCAGGUCAGCAUGAAGGCAACAGGCUUGAUUUUGUCAUGUGUAUCAAGUAACCAGGUAAGAUCGUACAUAAGCAAAUGCUGUGUGGGCUUCAGAUCAGGUCUAUUAGAAUUUAUGUUCUUUUUCUUGGCAUAGGUAUUUUACAGUCUCUUGUGAUUUUAUAACAACAGAUUGAAUUGUCAGGAUCUCAACAGCCUCUGCUUUGAAACUACUGGAUGAGGUGUAUUUCAGCCUGUAUUUCUAUGUGAUUAAAAACCUAACAAAUAUUCUAAAUUACUGUACUUCAGAGAAAGUCUCUAUACCUAACUGUAUAGAGACGGCAUGUUACAGUCUGUGUUUUCUGGGCUUAUUAAAGGUCUUCUGAAAUGAUUAGCACUGAGCUGACAAGGACAAGUGAUUGCCAGUGAAUGGGCGUGAAGGCAUGAGGCAUAAAGGAGGCACAGCGUAAAAGCGUGGGCAGGGCUUUGCAGAGACACCAACAUCUUCAAACCCAGUAUCACUGUAUUCUUUCUAAAUUAUCUUACCUUUUUUGUCUUUUGCUUUUAGGAGUUAACUUGAGUUUUCCUGGCACAUUAUGCAACACUCCUCUGUAUAUGAAAAAUGCAAAUUUUAAAAAAGAAAGAAACAAACAAAAAACAACCAAAUUAAGGCCACCUGAUCUCCCCCAGAACAACAGAUGAACAAUAAAACCAAGCUCAGGAUGCCUCAAACUUCUAAAACUUCUUUUGCUGAACUUUUGAAGAAGAAAUUCCUCUACAGCCUUCCUCAGGCAGUCUGAAAUACACUGCCCUGUUUGAACUCUUUUACUGGACCUGUUUGGUGUCUCAUUUUGCUGUGAUGCUGUAUGUUCUGGAAGCGGCUGAUGACAAUAAAAUCUGAUAUAUAACAGUAAAAUGGUCGUUCCUUCUUACAUCUGACAACAAUGCCUCACUGCCACCAGGCCUGUCUGCACAUUUAUUAUUUAAAGUCAGGCUUUUCCCCUGGAAGCUGGAAGGAUACACUGAAGGGUGCCCUAACUUUCUCCUACCAUCCAGAAGGAAUUAGGUCAGCUGUAUGAGAUGGAUACCAUGCAACAACCACUUUCUGUAAGUAGCAUGUGCCUGGCAGAAUUAAGUUCAGCAGUGGGACAGCAACUCUUCAGACCUCUCACCAUCUUUUAGUGCUUCCAAACAACAACAACAAAAAUUCCAAAGACAGUAGUUUAUAAACAGCCCAGGAAGCUCUUGGAAAUUAGUGUAAAGUUCUGAAGGCAGAGCAGUGUGGGGCAAUAACCAGCACACAAUGCAUUGCUAUUGCAACAACAAACAGCUAAACUACCGUGUAGUUAUUUUUCGGUAUGUACAAUUGUUGGAGGAGAAUGUAAAAUAUUCUUUGAAGGAGAUGUUGAAAGCGUUGUGCUUCCCCUAGCUGCCAUGGUCCUGACAAGAAACAGCCCACAAAUUCUAAUAAAUGGAAAAUAGAAAUAAAUACUUUAACUAUAUGGCAUAGGGUUUUGAAUGGCUUUCUGAAUCAGAAAGUGCUGUCUGUACAUCUUCGUUAUUUCUACACUCUGUAAUGUUGGCUCUCCAAAAGUCAGAGACAAAGUGAGAUAGAUACUACAAGGAUCACAGAUACUACACUAGGAAACCAAAUAUCAGUGGUACAUCCAGAUUUAUGGUAGAAGAUGGCAGUAAAGUGAA